UUCUUGGUGUGAAUCGGGCAGUAACACCCAUACAUUCAACACCGUUCGGACAUUUUUCACCAAAUGAUGUCUUAUGUGAAAUAAAAAAGAAGAAAAACAAAUCUUCACCAGGAUUGUCAGAAGAUCAUCCCAAUGAUAGUUGGAUUCCACACCACCAGUUUGGCUUCAGAAAAAACCACUCUACAAUUCAACAUUCCAACAUAACGGUGUUUUGUAUUUUUGAAGCCAUGGAUAGAAAGUGACACGGC